rnacentral:rRNA from 1 species
AUUGAACGCUGGCGGCAGGCCUAACAAAUGCAAGUCGAACGAGUGGCGGACGGGUGAGUAAUGCCUGGGAAACUGCCUGAUGGAGGGGGAUAACUACUGGAAACGGUAGCUAAUACCGCAUACCAUCGGAUGAGCCCAGAUGGGAUUAGCUGGUUGGUGGGGUAACGGGUCACCAAGGCGACGAUCCCUAGCUGGUCUGAGAGGAUGACCAGCCACACUGGAACUGCGACACGGGCCAGACUCCGACGGGAGGCAGCAGUGGGGAAUAUUGCACAAUGGGCGCAAGCCUGAUGCAGCCAUGACGCGUGUAUGAAGAAGGCCUUCGGGUUGUAAAGUACUUUCAGCGAGGAGGCGUUACCCGCAGAAGAAGCACCGGCUAACUCCGUGCCAGCAGCCGCGGUAAUAC